CCUACGGGUGGCAGCAGUGGGGGAUAUUGCACAAUGGGGGAAACCCUGAUGCAGCGACGCCGCGUGGGCGAAGAAGGAUUUCGGGAUGUAAAGCCCUAUCAGCAGGGGAGAAGAAAUGACGGUACCUGAGUAAGAAGCACCGGCUAAAUACGUGCCAGCAGCCGCGGUAAUACGUAUGGUGCAAGCGUUAUCCGGAUUUACUGGGUGUAAAGGGAGCGCAGGCGGGACGGCAAGCCGGAUGUGAAAGCCCGGGGCCCAACCGCCGGACUGCAUUGGAAACUGGCGGGCUGGAGUGCCGGAGAGGUAGGCGGAAUUCCUGGUGUAGCGGUGAAAUGCGUAGAUAUUAGGAGGAACACCAGUGGCGAAGGCGGCCUACUGGA
rnacentral:rRNA from 1 species